CCUACGGGUGGCAGCAGUGAGGAAUAUUGGUCAAUGGGCGCGAGCCUGAACCAGCCAAGUCGCGUGAGGGAGGACGGCCCUACGGGUUGUAAACCUCUUUUGCCGGGGAGCAACGGGCGCCACGUGUGGCGUCACUGAGAGUCCCCGCAGAAAAAGCAUCGGCCAACUCCGUGCCAGCAGCCGCGGUAAUACGGAGGAUGCGGGCGUUCUCCGGAUUGAUUGGGUUUAAAGGGUGCGUAGGCGGAUCGUUAAGUCAGUGGUAAAAUUGAGGGGCUAAACCCCUUCCCGCCAUUGAAACUGGCGUUCUGGAGUGGGAGAGAGGGAGGCGGAAUGCGUGGUGUAGCGGUGAAAUGCGUAGAUAUCACGCAGAACCCCGAUUGCGAAGGCAGCAUGCCGGAUUCCGACUGACGCUGAAGCACGAAAGCGUGGGGAUCGAACAGGAUUAGAUACCCUAGUAGUC
rnacentral:rRNA from 1 species